rnacentral:rRNA from 1 species
GACGAACGCUGGCGGCGUGCUUAACACAUGCAAGUCGAACGGAAAGGCCCUGCUUUUGUGGGGUGCUCGAGUGGCGAACGGGUGAGUAACACGUGAGUAACCUGCCCUUGACUUUGGGAUAACUUCAGGAAACUGGGGCUAAUACCGGAUAGGAGCUCCUGCUGCAUGGUGGGGGUUGGAAAGUUUCGGCGGUUGGGGAUGGACUCGCGGCUUAUCAGCUUGUUGGUGGGGUAGUGGCUUACCAAGGCUUUGACGGGUAGCCGGCCUGAGAGGGUGACCGGCCACAUUGGGACUGAGAUACGGCCCAGACUCCUACGGGAGGCAGCAGUGGGGAAUAUUGCACAAUGGGCGGAAGCAUGAUGCAGCAACGCCGCGUGCGGGAUGACGGCCUUCGGGUUGUAAACCGCUUUCGCCUGUGACGAAGCGUGAGUGACGGUAAUGGGUAAAGAAGCACCGGCUAGCUACGUG